AACGAACGCUGGCGGCAGGCUUAACACAUGCAAGUCGAACGCAUCCUUCGGGGUGAGUGGCAGACGGGUGAGUAACGCGUGGGAACGUGCCCUUCAGUUCGGGAUAACCCAGGGAAACUUGGGCUAAUACCGGAUACGUGCGAGAGCAGAAAGAUUUAUCGCUGAAGGAUCGGCCCGCGUCUGAUUAGCUAGUUGGUGGGGUAAUGGCCCACCAAGGCGACGAUCAGUAGCUGGUCUGAGAGGAUGAUCAGCCACAUUGGGACUGAGACACGGCCCAAACUCCUACGGGAGGCAGCAGUGGGGAAUAUUGGACAAUGGGCGCAAGCUUGAUCCAGCCACGCCGCGUGAGUGAUGAAGGCCUUAGGGUUGUAAAGCUCUUUCGUCCGGGACGAUAAUGACGGUACCGGAAGAAGAAGCCCCGGCUAACUUCGUGCCAGCCGCCGCCGUAAGAC
rnacentral:rRNA from 1 species